rnacentral:lncRNA from 1 species
GCUUGAUAAUCAUCAAAAAGGAUAAUUUACUAGUCUUUGGUCUAUCUUGCAGAAAUGUGCGCAAAGGCACUAUAAACUACAAGUUUCUGUCCAUGUGGCAAUCGAGAUGAGCAUAUGAAAGAAGAGAAGGAAGAGGGACUUGAGUGUGAUGAAUAUUAAAGCUUCAAGGGCAAGAAAGAAAGAGUGGAGGGAUCAACUUGUGAAGUAGGCAGAGAAGUAGAAGGGCCGAAGUGCAAAAGUGCAGAUCUGAGGAGAGGGUCAAAAUCCCUAGCGCAGCCUCCAUUUCCCCCUUCGGCCUGGCCACACCUUCAUCUCUCUCCCCCUCACCACUCCUUCUCCACCUCCGGCCGCCGCCACGGCCAGGCCGGCGUGGUGAUGCGCCUCCGUAGCCCAUCCACCCACCAGCGCCAUCCAUCACCAGCACCAACACCCAGCGCCACCAUCACCUCCUGCCGCCAGCGCCACCACCACCUCGCGCGCCCUGCAAUCCAUCUCCCUGCUGCUCCUCCACCUUUCUUCUUCUCCUAACCUACUGCUGCUCUCCUUCUUCUUCCCUAGCCUCGCUGCUGCUCUUCCUUCUCCAAAUCCCCAAACUGCUGCUCCUCUUUCUUACACGCCUGCUGCGGUUCUUCUUCUCCUAUCUUGCUGCACCACUACUGCUGCUCCUUGUCUCCUACGUCCCCUGCUGCUCCUAACUUGCUGCUGCUGCUGCUCCUUCCUCCCUUACCUUGCUGAUGCACUUCUCUGAAUCCGAAUCAUUACUGCCUCUCUCUCUCUCUCUCUCUCUCUCUGAAAUUUUUGUAAAAUUUAGAAGUGUAUGACAUUUAAUAUUCAGAUUUGAAGUGUACUUGCAACCUGCUGUUUGCUCUGUUUAAGUGCUUGUAUAAUAUGGUGUAUGUGAUCUGAGAUCUGACUAGUUGAGGCUUUGCUACUUUGGGAGAUACUUGAUCUAUUAUAUUUUGGUUCUAUCAAUUAGUAUUCUGCUAGCAUAUAUGUGUGUUCACCCUGUGUACUAGUCCCCUGUACUAGUUAACUUCCAGUACCAGUUAACUUUGUGUGUGAUUAAUUUUCAGUCUCUGUGAUAGCUUCGUCUCUGUGACAAAUAUGUUUGUAAUGUGACCCAUUUCUAUUUUGCUAUAUAUGUUCAUGUCCUGUUGUUCCCUUUGUGUUACUGUUUUAGUUUCUCAUGCCAAUAAAAAAUAAUACCAAAAAGACAGAGAGUAUAAUCUAAAUCUCCCUUUGCUUCUUUUCGUUUACCGUGGCGACAAUCAUUGAUACUUUAGGUUUUAUUUCUGCAUUCAUAAGCUGAAUUGUGUUACCUAGAUUUAUCCGAGCACGAUCAUUGACUUGCCUAGUCCCUGAGGAGAACACGACACUCGCAGUUUGGGCGUAAAACCCCACUGUACCUACAAUUGAUCAUUUUGGCGCCGUUGCCGGGGACUACCGUCGUGUGACCGUGUUUGGCUAUAGACUAGGUUUUUCUUCUUUUUCUAGUUUGUGCCAUAUAUUCGUGAUAUAUCUCUAACCACUAACCUCUUUUCUAGUUAGUAUCUUUUUUGUUUUCUUUAACUUUUUGCAGGUUAGAACUAUCUUCUCGGUUAUGGCUUACUAUUUAGAUCAUCAGGCUUAUGCGAGCAACACUACAAACAACACGGAAAGUAUUCAAGAACUGAUAAGUAAGAUUUCCCAUCGAUUAGAUGAUUUAGCUCGGCAACGAGAAGUAGUUUUUGAGGAUAGGCCUAGCUCUUAUGAUCCUUAUUCUAGAGGCCAUCCUUAAUUUGCUCCUACCUGCCAUAUUUGUGGAUUUCAGGGCCAUUCGCCCGCUGAAUGUCGGUGUGGUUACUCCCAUCCUCCGGAUUGUUUUGGCAUGAGCUUCGCUCAACGGCAUAGCUCAUACCAAAACAAUUACUCACAUGGGUGGCCUGAAAGCCUGAAUAUGUCAUAUAGGAGCAACAACCCCGAGAUCUCAUCGUUUGUCUCUAGUUAUCCAUUGCAGAGAUUUAGGUAUGAAGAGGAGAGCCACAACUAUGCUCCACAACAGAUUUAUUCAGCUCCUACCCAUAUACCUCAACACCAGGACAUGUUCCCAAUUGAGUUAAAUGGUCAUCCAUUUGGUCAACCAACAUCUUCAACACUAGUGCCCACACAAGAUGACUUUGAUGAUAUAGACAAGCUCACAUUGCUUAGUCUCGAGUUCACUUGGAGUGCCGAAGAUGAUCCAAUUAGGCCGGUGAUACUAGAGGAAAUGAAGAAGAUUAAGAGUGGAAAGGAGCUAGUGGAAGAAGUAAGGAAGAUUGAGAAGAACAUCAACGCUGUCAGUACUAUCUCUUCCCUCCUUGAGCUGAGUGUUGCCGGGAUAUCCCUUGAGGUGUGUGAGGUUCCAACACCUUCACAUUCAGCUGAGCAAGAUAGUGAGAGUCCAGAGGAAGAGAUACUUCAGAUCCAAGAAGAAAUUCUCGAAGCCAAGGCACAAGAUGAUCCAGACCUCGAACAACAAAGUGAUCAAGGUGAAGACUCAUCAUCUAUUACUCUUGAAGAAGCAAAAGAAGUUGAUGUGAUUGAAGAUGAAGAACUAGAAACGCAUUUGCCCAUCGUCAUACAGGAGCGUGAUUUAGCAGGUUUAUCCAAUCCUCUUGAUGACAUGCUUCCUUAUGAGAUCUUUGCUGCUACUUUCCAUUGUGUUAUACCAUCAAUUAAGCUAGACUUGAAAAAUUAUUUGCUUGGACAUGAUCAUACAUACAUUGUUGGUGGCAUUGCUCUCAUUCCUGAUUAUGACACUUAUUUUCCUUAUGCUAGUCCUAUGCUUAAUGAAACAUAUUAUUCCCAUGCUAGUCUUGAGCUUAAUGAUAAAUUUCAUCCUCACGUUAGUGUCGACCUUGCUGAUUUCUACCAUCCUAAACAUGUGCUUUAUAGCUAUGCUUAUGUAAUUGGUUAUUCGAUUGAUGACUUGGAGGGUAUUAUCCCUACCACUUGAAUUGUCUCUUUCGUUGAGUGCUCUUUCAGGUUCUUGCUUGUGCACGAUCCACUACAUGCUGACCAAGUUCGAGAUGACAUUCCCUGGGACCCCGGUGGACCUAUGGCAUGGGGAUGAGGAGAAGCAAGGAGCACACACGAAGAGAGAAGCUGGAGCAGGCAUGAGGAUAGAGAAGCAAAAAGAGAAGAGUUGCAGUUCAGAGAGUGAUUGUGCGAGACCUACAUCAUAUAAGCCCGGUGAGCUGUUUCAUGACCCAUUCUGAGUAUAUCAUCCAUUGAUACAUGCUGAAAUCAAAUGUUAUUUUGUUUGCUUAAGCCAUGUCUUAAAUGUUGCCCCACUAAAUUUUAUUUGACAUAUGGUGCUUGAUGAGAAUAUGCGAACUGAUUGUUGAAUGCCAUGUAAACUAGUGAUCUACAUAUUGCUUGCUUUGCUGAAAUUAGUGAAAGUUAUUAGUUUUGAGUGCUCAAAUCCCUAGUACACUAGAAAACUUAAUUAUUUUCUGCUUUUACCUCGAUACACCUAGAUCACCACAUUUAGAUGCUGUAUUUGUGCCAAGUGUCUUCCCAUUGAGAGCAAUCACCUAACCACUAUGGAUUAGCAUGCUAUGUUCCCUGGAUCGGUAGCAUGUGAACUAGACAUAGAGAAGUGAUGAUUCCUGUUUUUGUUCUUAUGCGUUGUUCAUUUAAGAUAAGUAAUAAUGAAUAAACAAGUCUGGCUACCUACAGUAGCAUGUCAUGUUCCCGGGAUCGGUGGCAUGUGAAAUCGGGUUAGCUUGGGCAGUAAAUAAUAAUAAUAAAAAUGUAAUUGUCGAACCAGAUGUAUACCAUGUUCUCGGGAUCGGUGGUAUGUUCCUUUGGGGAGACAAACAAAAAAAUUAUAUAAUUGGUCGAGCCGGGUGUAUACCAUGUUCUCGGGAUCGGUGGUAUGUUCCUUUGGUGAGAUCAAUAAAAUAUUAUCAUUACUUUCUUCAAAUUCAAUAAGUGGUUCAACCACAAUGUUCCUGUAAUAAGUGAUCUGAUCACAAGUUUAAGUUCUUUUUAUUUUUUUGGAUCAUGCUCUCUUUAGGAACCAUUUGGCGCGGUCAUCAUUUAAACUUGUUGAUCCUCUUUUAUCAUUGUAAAAGUUUAAAAUGGUCAUGCUUACUAGUACCCUACUGCUUUGUAGCACUCUUAACCAUCAAUUUUCACUAGCUAAGUCCAAAAGCAUGCAUUGUUUCGAGAUCUACUUCACUUGGACAUUCUUUACUCAGUUCACUGUUCACACUCUUGCUCUUGUCAUAUGCCUUUGCUUGAGGACAAGCAAAGAUUUAAGUGUGGGGGAACUUGAUAAGUAUAUUUCACAUAUGUAAUUUUGGUACUCAAAUAUAGCAUCUAUCGUAACAUAUUCGUCCAUUCUUGCCAUGCUUGAUUGAAUAUUGCUUGAUAAUCAUCAAAAAGGAUAAUUUACUAGUCUUUGGUCUAUCUUGCAGAAAUGUGCGCAAAGGCACUAUAAACUACAAGUUUCUGUCCAUGUGGCAAUCGAGAUGAGCAUAUGAAAGAAGAGAAGGAAGAGGGACUUGAGUGUGAUGAAUAUUAAAGCUUCAAGGGCAAGAAAUAAAGAGUGGAGGGAUCAACUUGUGAAGUAGGCAGAGAAGUAGAAGGGCCGAAGUGCAAAAGUGCAGAUCUGAGGAGAGGGUCAAAAUCCCUAGCGCAGCCUCCAUUUUCCCCUUGGGCCUGGCCACACCUUCAUCUCUCUCCCCCUCACCACUCCUUCUCCACCUCCGGCCGCCGCCACGGCCAGGCCGGCGUGGUGGUGCGCCUCCGCAGCCCAUCCACCCACCAGCGCCAUCCAUCACCAGCACCAACACCCAGCGCCACCAUCACCUCUUGCCGUCAGCGCCACCACCACCUCGCGCGCCCUGCAAUCCAUCUCCCUGCUGCUCCUCCACCUUUCUUCUUCUCCUAACCUACUGCUGCUCUCCUUCUUCUUCCCUAGCCUCGCUGCUGCUCUUCCUUCUCCAAAUCCCCUAUGUACCAAUAGCUAUGUGUUUGAUCUCUCUCUCUCAUGUUCUCUCUCGUGUUCCCCUAUGGCACGAUCUUGAUGUAUCCCGAGCUUUGAUAUUGUAGUUGGAUCUUAUGAUGUUUCUCCCCCUCUACUCUCUUGUGAUGAAUUGAGUUUCUCCUUUUGAAGUUAUCUUAUCGGAUUGAGUCUUUUAUUAACACUUGAUGUAUGUCUUGCGUGGGAUAACCGUGGUGACAAUGGGUUAUUCUAUUGAUCCACUUGAUGUAUGUUUUGG